GCCUAAGAAGCCUCGUAGGUCCGGUUCGUCGCCGAGAACCGGAUUGAACCGAUUUGCGAACCGUGUUCUUGCUAUGGCUUUGCUUCUUUGCUUUACCUUCUUCUCGUUGCUCUUUGCGUUCUUCUUUUUGAGGAAGGAUGGGCUACUUCCGUCGGAAAACUUGUUGUUGGCUUUGAUUUUUGUUGCUAUUACGCUUGUAUUCGUG
rnacentral:misc_RNA from 1 species